UACGUAGGGUGCGAGCGUUGUCCGGAAUUACUGGGCGUAAAGGGCUCGUAGGUGGUUUGUCGCGUCGUCUGUGAAAUUCCGGGGCUUAACUCCGGGCGUGCAGGCGAUACGGGCAUAACUUGAGUACUGUAGGGGUAACUGGAAUUCCUGGUGUAGCGGUGAAAUGCGCAGAUAUCAGGAGGAACACCGAUGGCGAAGGCAGGUUACUGGGCAGUUACUGACGCUGAGGAGCGAAAGCAUGGGUAGCGAA
rnacentral:rRNA from 3 species